rfam:Heligmosomoides polygyrus genome assembly, scaffold: HPBE_scaffold0003350
GCGCCGGUGGUGUAAGGCGAACAUCGCUGCCCGGAAAGCAGAAGAUGCGGGUUCGAGUACCGCCUGGCGCA